rnacentral:rRNA from 1 species
UACGUAGGGUGCAAGCGUUGUCCGGAAUUAUUGGGCGUAAAGAGCUUGUAGGCGGUUUGUCGCGUCUGCUGUGAAAUUUCGGGGCUCAACCCCGAACUUGCAGUGGGUACGGGCAGACUAGAGUGUGGUAGGGGAGACUGGAAUUCCUGGUGUAGCGGUGAAAUGCGCAGAUAUCAGGAGGAACACCGAUGGCGAAGGCAGGUCUCUGGGCAACUACUGACGCUGAGGAGCGAAAGCGUGGGGAGCGAACAGG